UAAUAAAGGGCUGCGCUUUAGCGCAUGAUACGCCCGUUGCUCUUUUAACUUGUCUUUUAUGCUUUAAAUGUAUUGUCCCAAAAUUGGAAAAUCCCCCCUUUUUUAAGCAUAAAAAUUCAUAACACGGAAAUGUAAAAUCUGAAAUUUAUAAAAGUUGAAAGGGAGCUUACAUCAAUAGAUAUAAACAAUUCACCAAAGUUUCAUGGACAUUGGUGAAAGCCUUUUUGAGUUAUUGUCCGAAGUGUUAAAAAUCCCCCUUUUUUAUGAAUAAAGCCCCAUAAAUCCAAAACUUAAAAUCUGAAAUUAAUAAAAAUUAAAAGGGAGCUUAUAUCAAUAGAUAUAAACAAUUCAACAAAGUUUCAUGGACAUUGGUGAAAGCCUUUUUGAGUUAUUGUCCGAAGUGUUAAAAAUCCCCCUUUUUUUAUGAAUAAAGCCCCAUAAAUCCAAAACUUAAAAUUUGAAAUUAAUAAAAAUUGAAAGGGAGCUUACAUCAAUAGAUAUAAACAAUUCACCAAAGUUUCAUGGACAUUGGUGAAAGCCUUUUUGAGUUAUUGUCCGAAGUGUUAAAAAUCCCCCUUUUUUUUUAUGAAUAAAGCCCCAUAAAUCCAAAACUUAAAAUCUGAAAUUAAUAAAAAUUGAAAGGGAGCUUACAUCAAUAGAUAUAAACAAUUCACCAAAGUUUCAUGGACAUUGAUGAAAGCCUUUUUGAGUUAUUGUCCGAAGUGUUAAAAAUCCCCCUUUUUUUAUGAAUAAAGCCCCAUAAAUCCAAAACUUAAGAUCUGAAAUUAAUAAAAAUUAAAAGGGAGCUUAUAUCAAUAGAUAUAAACAAUUCACCAAAGUUUCAUGGACAUUGGUGAAAGCCUUUUUGAGUUAUUGUCCGAAGUGUUAAAAAUCCCCCUUUUUUAUGAAUAAAGCCCCAUAAAUCCAAAACUUAAAAUCUGAAAUUAAAAAAAACUAAAAGGGAGCU
rnacentral:lncRNA from 1 species